CGCGUAGGCGGUCUGUUAAGUGUGAAGUGAAAUCCCUCGGCUCAACCGAGGACGUGCUUUGCAUACUGGUGGACUUGAGUCCGAGAGGGGUGGUGGAAUUCCUGGUGUAGGGUGAAAUCCGUAGAGAUCAGGAGGAACACCGUUGGCGAAGGCGGCCACCUGGAUCGGUACUGACGCUGAGGCGCGAAAGCGUGGGAGCAAACA
rnacentral:rRNA from 1 species